rnacentral:misc_RNA from 1 species
GAUGAAGAACGUAGCGAAAUGCGAUACGUAAUGUGAAUUGCAGAAUUCAGUGAAUCAUCGAAUCUUUGAACGCAUAUUGCGCUCUUUGGUAUUCCGAAGAGCAUGCUUGUUUGAGUAUCAGUAAACACCUCAAAGACUUCAAUUUGUUUUGAAUGGCUUUGGACUUGAGCAAUCCCAACACCAGUCUUUACGAUCGGUGGAGGGUUGCUUGAAAUGCAGGUGCAGCUGGACAUUCUCCUGAGCUAAAAGCAUAUUUAUUUAGUCCCGUCAAACGGAUUAUUACUUUUGCUGCAGCUAACAUAAAGGGAGUUUGACCGUAUUGGCUGACUGAUGCAGGAUUUCACAAGGGUCGGCAACGAUUCUUGUAAAACUCGAUCUCAAAUCAAGUAAGACUACCCGCUGAACUUAAGCAUAUCAAUAGCGAGGA